CAUUAUCCUGGACAACCCUAUUUACCCUGCCUAAUCUGCCAAAAUAUCCCUUAAAAUAUGAACCUCCUUCCCUCCUCUCUUCCUUCUUUCUCUCUCCGUACUCCUAUAUUCCUCCUCCCUCCUUCCACACCAGCAUCCCCAACCUCUAUUCAACCACCUAACCAGAACCGCCGUCAUCCCUUUCCUCUCUCUCUCUCUCUCUUCAGCUUCUUCUCCCCUUCUGUCCAACAUCACCGUUUUGUGUUUACAUUAGACAACCGAAUCCCAUGCAACCACCCGUGUCACUCUCUAAUCUCGUCAAACUACUUCGGCCUUGUUCCAAACUCUCCGUCAAGCCUCAAACCAUCGACCAGCUACCCACAUUAUAGCUUCAUUUCAUCUCUGAUUUUCCGAUCAAAUCCCAAAUUACCACCGCCUUGUUCAUGCCAGCUUGCUUGCCCGACCCAAUGGUUAGCUGUUCUCCCAUUUAAGUCACUGAUUUGAGAUUCUUCUCAUCCUUGCCGUCUAGCAUCGGUGGUGUAACAUAAUCAUCUCGACUCCAUUUCCAGUUCUGUAGCAGCAAUCUCAGUCCUCUCAGCACAGCAGCUAAAUAGAGAUUCGAAGGUACAUCUCCAUAUAACCUCUGCUUGUACUGGUCUGAGGUUCCCAUCUUAUUACAGUCGAUCCAGCUUCCUUCCUUCCUGUAUUGCGCCAUCCGUCAGCCACGGUAAUAGGUCAUUGAUUCAUCUCGUGCACCUAUCUGUUCUUCUCCCACAUCCAAUGCCCAGUUCAAUCUCAACGAAGUCGAUGUUUAACACCUACUUGAAGCUGCUCGUUAUUGAAGGCAAUAUUGAGGGACAUUGGGUGCUUCUUCCAUGAUAAUCAGAGGAUUACUUCCUGUUAAUUCUCACUCAGUGAUUGAAACAAUUAUCGUUUAUGUCAGGCUCACCUUUUGGUGAUAGUUUAUUUUCAUCUUAUGCCAUUCAAUAAUUGGUGCUUCGCAUAUUCA